GACGAACGCUGGCGGCGUGCUUAACACAUGCAAGUCGAACGGAAAGGCCCUGCUUUUGUGGGGUGCUCGAGUGGCGAACGGGUGAGUAACACGUGUGUAACCUGCCCUUGACUUUGGGAUAACUUCAGGAAACUGGGGCUAAUACCGGAUAGGAGCUCCUGCUGCACGGUGGGGGUUGGUAAGUUUCGGCGGUUGGGGCUGGACUCGCGGCUUAUCAGCUUGUUGGUGAGGUAGUGGCUUACCAGGGCUUUGACGGGUAGCCGGCAUGAGCGGCUGACCGGCCACAUUGCGACUGAGAUACGCAGCAGAAUCCUACGGGAGGCAGCAGUGGGGAAUAUGGCACAAUGGGGGGAAGCCUGAUGCAACAACGCCGCGUGCGGGAUGACGGCCUUCGGGUUGUAAACCGAUGUCGCAUGUGACGAAGCGUGCGUGACGGUAACGGGUAAAGAAGCACCGGCUAACUACGUG
rnacentral:rRNA from 1 species